GGGGCUGUGACUCAAUGGUAAAUCAUCUGCUUGCCAUGCAGAAGGUCCCAGGUCCAAUCCCAGGCACCUGCA
rnacentral:tRNA from 1 species